UACAAAAUAAAUAAAAAAAAAUUCGUCAAUUGAACGUAUUUGGACUCAUAAAAGAUCCAGUCGGGAUUGUUUUAAAUAUUUUCUAGUCAUCUGAGCCUGACCUGCGGUGUGAUGGAGGGACAAAUUUAUGUCAAACAUUUCAUGUCAAACAUCCCGGUUUGUCAGGAUUUCACCAAUUUCUCAAAGAAAGCCUACCAAACACGCGCAAAUGAGAGAAAAUGCAAAUAAAAGAAGAAAGCAUCAGCCCUGCAUCACAGAGAUUUCUCCACAUCACGCCCCGCCUGCAAGUACAGAAGAAAGAGGGAGCGCAGCGUCUGGAGAGGCUUGACGCUUCGGCCGCAUAUGCUUCUCUUACCUUCUUACACAAAGAGAGGAAGAAAAAAAAGCCUCCAGGCCUCUCAGGUUCUUCUCCUGGUGCCUGGAGGGAGAAGUGAAACACGCGUCGAGGCGCCAUUCCUUCAUGAAGUUUAGAUCUUCAACAGCCAAAUGAAGACAGAUCCAUUCAGUCUGGCUUUUACUUCAAGUUUAUAGCUAUUCAUUAUCCCUUAUAGUUUAUUAUUUCAUUCUUAUUUUAGCUACUCCUAGAUUCUUUAUUUGUUUUUUAUUGUGACAUUGCUGUUUUUACUGUACUUAAUCUUGUUACUUAUGUGUACUAUGUAUGGUCUUAACUUUGCUGUUUUUAUAGAUUUUAUUUAUCUUAUCUCCUUCUAAAAUAUACAUGUACUUUAUCGUUCAUAUUUCUUGCAUUUCCACAGUUUCUGCUCCUCUAUAAUGUUAGUUGAUUUCUCUCUCUUUAAUUCUUAAUUGUUUUACUAUUAAUAAAUAUUGCUCUAUCUCAUCACGUGAUUUUUUCAUCAUUUUGAUCUUCAUAUUGUGGGUCUCUAGUCAUUAAAUGUCUGGGUUUUUUUUAAACCUGUAAAGAAUUUUGUUACACCUGACUGUAAGAAAUAUGUUUUUUAUAAAGUUUAAUUGAUUAACUGAUUACAAUUAAUUUGUUUUGUAUUGUAAAAUGAAUGUGAACCAUCCAAUAUUUUUUUUUAUCUCCAGUCAGACAGCAUUAACUACUAAACAGACCCAGAAAGAGAUGAAACAUUUUGCUCCAACUGUAUUAUUGAAUGCACUUUGUCACAAUAAAAUCAAUAAGCACCAACUU